rnacentral:rRNA from 1 species
AUAGUCCUACGGGGGGCAGCAGUGGGGAAUAUUGCACAAUGGGCGCAAGCCUGAUGCAGCCAUGCCGCGUGUAUGAAGAAGGCCUUCGGGUUGUAAAGUACUUUCAGCGGGGAGGAAGGGAGGAAAGUUAAUACCUAUGCUCAUUGACGUUACCCGCAGAAGAAGCACCGGCUAACUACGUGCCAGCAGACGCGGUAAUACGGAGGGUGCAAGCGUUAAUCGGAAUUACUGGGCGUAAAGCGCACG